CUUUUUCCUCAGUACAAAACUACAUACACAAUCCUAAAGUUAAACAUAAGUCUCUUCUGAUAAAAACACGUAGUACAUCAUGAAUUCAGUAAAUCUUAAUUUUCCCAGCGGUCAUUUAUUCCCCCUUUCUCUACUGUAAACAGGUGCCCUUGUUUUCAUGUCCAUCACUUUCAGCUCAUUAUUUAUUUUUCUAAAUAAAGGAGGCGGAGCCUUUAUCACUCCUCAACUGCUCAGUAGCUCAGAUCAUUCAUCUGAAAAUUACUAGAAUUGCAAGCUAUUGCUUGGUAUAAGCAUUGAUUCAAAAAUACAGGAUUUGACAUGGACAUUCAUUUUUAAAAUCAUUUUGUCAACAAACAAAUGCAUCCAGUAAGGAGACGUCCGAGACAAGAAGGGAGGAAAACGGAGAGAAAAAAACACUAAGAACUCUUCGUUGUUGUCCUGUCUUGCUGCCCGGCUUGUCUGGAGUGACUGCCAACUUAAAAUGGAGAGCCGAAGUGGGCCCGAGUCCGAAAGCGACCGUUUUUAAUCUUGAACUGAGGAGUUAGCAAGCGGCCAAGUCAUCAGACCCGCAACGACAACAUGGCUUCCUGGUGCUGAGACGGAGCCAGUGCUUUGGCCAAACCUCCAUUUUGCUGCAUCGCUCAGGGCGUUCGAUAACAGAUCAUGGAAACGUUCUGUAAUCUUGUGGAUGCUUUGUUGCGCUCGCUCACUCUUUCAGUAAUUUUAUUCUGUGUUUUUUCAUUUCUCAUGGAGGAGUUUGGCUUGAAUUUGAGUUUGGCAUGCAGGGGCUUGUGAAUUACAUGACAAAAGUCAAUUCAGGGGUACAACCCUUUGAAGACGAUGAAAAGAUGACGAGGCAAAGGGCACACGCUUUAAUGGAUGUAAAUGUUGACCUCCUGGUACUUUUUAUAAACACCACAUUUGAUGUUACAGGUUCAGAGAAGAUCUGUGUAGUAUUUGCACAGUGGGAUGAGGUAGUAGGUUGUGUAGUUUUAGGGUCACACCCACACUGGGAGAUAACUAUACAACCUACUGUCUUUCUCAAGGUGACUGAGAGCAGCUCAGUGAAGAAAUUAAGGACAUAAAAGCAGCUAAGGGUGGAAAAUAUGAUUGGUUGUUGUGAGAGAUUGUCAAAACUUGUUUUUCUAAGUAUAUUGUGGGUAUUGUCAGCACUCCUAGAAUACUGAACAGCUGCCUGUAUCAUAAACACAGACCAAUUAGAAAGCCUGUAAACAACCAGUGCAUAAAUUACAUAGUAACAAGUACCUGAUUGGAUGUUAGGCUGUUAUGAUAUCAUUAUUUAUUUGUCUUUUAUUUAUUUAUUUAUGUGUGUGUGUAUUUGUAUGUAUGUAUUAGUGUGUAUGUUUUUUUUUUUCUUCAUUCUUUUACAGUCUAGUUUCAUGAUACAUAUAUGCCUUCACGUCUUGUUUUAUUUUUUCCAUAUCUCCUGCAGUUAAAGGCAGUGAAUUAUUAUCUCAAGCAUUUUUACAGUGCUAACACUAGUGCAUGCUUAAGCAGUUACCUGUUUGUUAUGCUUUCACAGUGUGAGGUAGUAGAUUGUAUAGUUGUGGGGUAGUGAUUUUAUCCUGUGUAGAAGAUAACUAUACAAUCUAUUGCCUUCCCUGAGGGGGUGAUAUUCACAUUCAGCUCACUUUUUGUGUUUGUUACAAACUGUUCUGUGAUAAUAAAUGGGUUAAAAUUCAGUGUCACAAAUGUCAUUUUUGCAAAAAUUAUGUUGUUUAAAUGUAAUAAAGACAUAUAACAUGUAACAAAGA